GUGGGGAUAGUGUAACUGGCAACACUCCAGUCUCCAAAACUGGCAUUCUGAGUUCAAAUCUCAGUCUCCGCGCCA
rnacentral:tRNA from 1 species